CCUAGAGCGCGAAAGCGUCCAGUGGAGACUUGAGCUCUGGGCCCUCUGGCCGAGGCUCUGCGUGUGAGGGGCUGCGCUGAGAGGGAGGAUGGACGAGGCCACCUCCCGCGCCCGGGGGAGUGCGGGUCCCUCCAGCUCGGAGCUUUGGAGCUUCGGAGCUUUGGCUGCAGCAUUCUCCCAGCUUGGCCUUCUGUGUACAAUCCGGGUCUUCCCCAAGGCUGCUGGGGACCCUGGUUUCCACACCAUCAUCAAGUUUUACUGGGCGAGGGACGCACAGAGAGCACCAAAGGCAUGACCGGAAGCCUCCUCUUCAGGCGUGGCUUGUGAAGGACCCCAGCACUUCUCGGGAGUCGAACCCAGAGCCUGCGGAACUUGGUGUUUCACAUCAGCAUCUGACCAACAAGCUGAUACCACCUGGGAAGCAGCCAGAGAACAUUUUAAUGCUAAAUGGGGAUCAAAUUCAGGCUCCCAUUCUGCAUUCACAGUUCAAAAGUACUGCCAGUCUAGCUGAGGCUGCAGAUCAUCAGUUGGAGGCAAUACUUGU